rnacentral:rRNA from 1 species
UACGUAGGUGGCGAGCGUUGUCCGGAAUUAUUGGGCGUAAAGGGUGCGUAGGCGGUCCGUUAAGUCUAGUUUGAAAGACCACGGCUUAACCGUGGGAGGGGAUUAGAAACUGGCGGACUUGAGGGUAAGAGAGGAAGGUGGAAUUCCACGUGUAGCGGUGAAAUGCGUAGAGAUGUGGAGGAACACCAGUGGCGAAGGCGGCCUUCUGGCUUACCCCUGACGCUGAGGCACGAAAGCGUGGGGAGCAAACAGG